rnacentral:rRNA from 1 species
GACGUAGGGCGCGAGCGUUUGUCCGGAUUUAUUGGGCGUAAAGAGCUCGUAGGCGGCUUGUCGCGUCUGCUGUGAAAACUGGAGGCUCAACCUCCAGCCUGCAGUGGGUACGGGCAGACUAGAGUGCGGUAGGGGAGAUUGGAAUUCCUGGUGUAGCGGUGGAAUGCGCAGAUAUCAGGAGGAACACCGAUGGCGAAGGCAGGUCUCUGGGCAUUAACUGACGCUGAGGAGCGAAAGCGUGGGGAGCAAACAGG